rnacentral:rRNA from 1 species
CCUACGGGUGGCAGCAGUGAGGGAUAUUGGUCAAUGGACGAGAGUCUGAACCAGCCAAGUCGCGUGAAGGAUGACUGCUCUAUGGGUUGUAAACUUCUUUUAUAAAGGAAUAAAACGAGGCACGUGUGCCUUUUUGCACGUACUUUAUGAAGACGGAUCGGGUAACUCCGUGCCAGCAGCCGCGGUAAUACGGAUGUUCCGAGCGUUAUCCGGAUUUAGUGGGUUUAAAGGGAGCGUAGAUGGGUUGGUAAGUCAGUUGUGAAAGUUUGAGGCUCAACCGUAAAAUUGCAAUUGAUACUGGUAGUCUUGAGUACAGUUGGGGCAGGCGGAAUUCGUGGUGUAGCGGUGAAAUGCUUAGAUAUCACGAAGAACCCCGAUUGCGAAGGCAGCUUACUAAACUGUAACUGACAUUGAUGCUCGAAAGUGUGGGUAUCAAACAGGAUUAGAUACCCGAGUAGUC